rnacentral:pre_miRNA from 14 species
GAUGAAAUGGAUUGUAUUCAAUGUCGAAGAGCUGCUUGCAAGGUACCUAAUUGUUUGACUCUAUUCUCAAUUGGUCCCCUCCAAGUAGCUCUAUUGCAUUGUUUAUUUAGAGUGAUCUUUU